AUUGAACGCUGGCGGCAUGCCUUACACAUGCAAGUCGAACGGCAGCACGGGUGCUUGCACCUGGUGGCGAGUGGCGAACGGGUGAGUAAUACAUCGGAACAUGUCCUGUAGUGGGGGAUAGCCCGGCGAAAGCCGGAUUAAUACCGCAUACGAUCUACGGAUGAAAGCGGGGGACCUUCGGGCCUCGCGCUAUAGGGUUGGCCGAUGGCUGAUUAGCUAGUUGGUGGGGUAAAGGCCUACCAAGGCGACGAUCAGUAGCUGGUCUGAGAGGACGACCAGCCACACUGGGACUGAGACACGGCCCAGACUCCUACGGGAGGCAGCAGUGGGGAAUUUUGGACAAUGGGCGAAAGCCUGAUCCAGCAAUGCCGCGUGUGUGAAGAAGACCUUCGGGUUGUAAAGCACUUUUGUCCGGAAAGAAAUCCUUGGCCCUAAUACGGUCGGGGGAUGACGGUACCGGAAGAAUAAGCACCGGCUAACUACGUG
rnacentral:rRNA from 1 species